rnacentral:rRNA from 1 species
AUUGAACGCUGGCGGCAGGCCUAACACAUGCAAGUCGAGCGGAGCGGCGGACGGGUGAGUAAUUCCUAGGAAUCUGCCUGGUCGUGGGGGAUAACGUCCGGAAACGGGCGCUAAUACCGCAUCCUAUCAGAUGAGCCUAUGUCGGAUUCGCUAGUUGGUGGGGUAAAGGCCUACCAAGGCGACGAUCCGUAACUGGUCUGAGAGGAUGAUCAGGCACACUGGAACUGAGACACGGUCCAGACGCCUACGGGAGGCAGCAGGGGGGAAUAUUGGACAAUGGGCGAAAGCCUGAUACAGCCAUGCCGCGUGUGUGAAGAAGGUCUUCGGAUUGUAAGGCACUUUAAGUUGGGAGGCGUUACCAACAGAAUAAGCACCGGCUAACUUCGUGCCAGCAGCCGCGGUAAUUC